GUAAUUCCAGCUCCAAUAGCGUAUAUUAAAGUUGUUGCAGUUAAAAAGCUCGUAGUUGGAGUUCAGAUUGAGCUCGGCCGGUCGGCCUAAUUGGUCAGAACUGGUUGACUCUGUCUUGUUUGUGGAUCCCUCCGGAGUUAACUCUUCGGAUGUGGAGUCCACAUCGUUUACCUUGAAAAAAUUAGAGUGUUCAAAGCAGGCGUUUGCUUGAAUAUAUUAGCAUGGAAUAAUGGAAUAGGACGCUGGUUCUAUUUUGUUGGUUUUGAGAACCAGAGUAAUGAUUAAUAGGGACAAUUGGGGGCAUUCGUAUCAACACGCUAGAGGUGAAAUUCUUGGAUUGUGUUGCGACGAACUACUGCGAAAGCAUUUGCCAAGGAUGUUUUCAUUGAUCAAGAACGAAAGUAAGGGGAUCGAAGAUGAUUAGAUACCGUCGUAGUCUUUACCACAAACUAUGCCAACUAGAGAUGGGGCAUCGUUCAAUACGACUUGCUCCGCACCUUAUGAGAUAUCAAAGUCUUUGGGUUCCGGGGGGAGUAUGGUCGCAAGUCUGGAACUUAAAGGAAUUGACGGAAGGGCACCACCAGGAGUGGAGCCUGCGGCUUAAUUUGACUCAACACGGGGAAACUCACCAGGUCCAGACAUAAUAAGGAUUGACAGAUUGAUAGCUCUUUCUUGAUUUUAUGGGUGGUGGUGCAUGGCCGUUCUUAGUUCGUGGAGUGAUUUGUCUGCUUAAUUGCGUUAACGAACGAGACCUUAACCUGCUAAAUAGGAGCGUCUAUCUUCGGAUAAGCGCCUUUCUUCUUAGAGGGACUUUGUGCGUUUCAGCAUGAGGAAGUUUGAGGCUAAAACAGGUCUGUGAUGCCCAA
rnacentral:rRNA from 1 species